rnacentral:rRNA from 1 species
UACGUAGGGUGCGAGCGUUGUCCGGAAUUAUUGGGCGUAAAGAGCUCGUAGGUGGUUUGUCGCGUUGUUCGUGAAAUCUCACGGCUUAACUGUGAGCGUGCGGGCGAUACGGGCAGACUUGAGUACUGCAGGGGAGACUGGAAUUCCUGGUGUAGCGGUGGAAUGCGCAGAUAUCAGGAGGAACACCGGUGGCGAAGGCGGGUCUCUGGGCAGUAACUGACGCUGAGGAGCGAAAGCGUGGGGAGCGAACAGG